CUACGGGGCGCUGCAGGCGAGAAACUUUUACAAUGCACGCAAGUGUGAUAGAGGAAUCUUGAGUGUUUGGAUUAAAAUCCAAACUUUUCUUUAGUGUAAAAAGCUAGAGGAAUAAGGGCUGGACAAGAUCGGUGCCAGCAGCCGCGGUAAUCCCGACGGCCCGAGUGGGACUCGCAUUUAUUGGGUCUAAAACAUCCGUAGCUUGUUUUGAAAGUCUUAUGUUAAAUCACUUUGCUUAACAGAGUAACUGCAUGAGAUACUUCAAAACUGGAGAUUGGGAGACGUGAAGAGUACAUUAAGGGUAGGGGUAAAAUUUUCUGAUCCUUAAUGGACUAACGAUGGCGAAGGCACUUCACGAGAACAAAUCUGACAGUGAGGGAUGAAGGCCAGGGGCGCAAAACGGAUUAGAUACCCCCGUAGUC
rnacentral:rRNA from 1 species